UGGGAGCUUGCUCCCUGAGGUUAGCGGCGGACGGGUGAGUAACACGUGGGUAACCUGCCUGUAAGAUUGGGAUAACUCCGGGAAACCGGAGCUAAUACCGGAUAACAUUUCGAACCGCAUGGUUCGAAAUUGAAAGAUGGCUUCGGCUAUCACUUACAGAUGGACCCGCGGCGCAUUAGCUAGUUGGUGAGGUAACGGCUCACCAAGGCCACGAUGCGUAGCCGACCUGAGAGGGUGAUCGGCCACACUGGGACUGAGACACGGCCCAGACUCCUACGGGAGGCAGCAGUAGGGAAUCUUCCGCAAUGGACGAAAGUCUGACGGAGCAACGCCGCGUGAACGAUGAAGGCCUUCGGGUCGUAAAGUUCUGUUGUUAGGGAAGAACAAGUACCAGAGUAACUGCUGGUACCUUGACGGUACCUAACCAGAAAGCCACGGCUAACUACGUGCCAGCAGCCGCGGUAAUACGUAGGUGGCAAGCGUUGUCCGGAAUUAUUGGGCGUAAAGCGCUCGCAGGCGGUUUCUUAAGUCUGAUGUGAAAGCCCACGGCUCAACCGUGGAGGGUCAUUGGAAACUGGGGAACUUGAGUGCAGAAGAGGAGAGUGGAAUUCCACGUGUAGCGGUGAAAUGCGUAGAGAUGUGGAGGAACACCAGUGGCGAAGGCGACUCUCUGGUCUGUAACUGACGCUGAGGAGCGAAAGCGUGGGGAGCGAACAGGAUUAGAUACCCUGGUAGUCCACGCC
rnacentral:rRNA from 1 species